rnacentral:rRNA from 1 species
CUACGUGCCAGCAGCCGCGGUAAUACGGAAGGUCCAGGCGUUAUCCGGAUUUAUUGGGUUUAAAGGGAGCGUAGGCCGUGGAUUAAGCGUGUUGUGAAAUGUAGACGCUCAACGUCUGAAUUGCAGCGCGAACUGGUUCACUUGAGUAUGCACAACGUAGGCGGAAUUCGUCGUGUAGCGGUGAAAUGCUUAGAUAUGACGAAGAACUCCGAUUGCGAAGGCAGCUUACGGGAGCACAACUGACGCUGAAGCUCGAAGGUGCGGGUAUCGAACAGGAUUAGAUACCCUGGUAGUCCGCACAGUAAACGAUGGAUGCCCGCUGUUGGUACCUGGUAUCAGCGGCUAAGCGAAAGCAUUAAGCAUCCCACCUGGGGAGUACGCCGGCAACGGUGAAACUCAAAGGAAUUGACGGGGGCCCGCACAAGCGGAGGAACAUGUGGUUUAAUUCGAUGAUACGCGAGGAACCUUACCCGGGCUUGAA